rnacentral:snoRNA from 1 species
GCUGCUGCUGCUGCUGUUGCUGCAGCGGCUGCCGCUGCUGCUGUUGCUGCAGCUGGCAAGAGAGGGGCCCCCUCUGCUGCAGCGUGCAUAAGCAGAGUGCAGGAGGCUUAGGGGGGCCCCCCGGC